rnacentral:rRNA from 1 species
GACGAACGCUGGCGGCGUGCCUAAUACAUGCAAGUAGAACGCUGAAGGAGGAGCUUGCUCUUCUGGAUGAGUUGCGAACGGGUGAGUAACGCGUAGGUAACCUGCCUGGUAGCGGGGGAUAACUAUUGGAAACGAUAGCUAAUACCGCAUAACAGUAGAUGUUGCAUGACAUUUGCUUAAAAGGUGCAAUUGCAUCACUACCAGAUGGACCUGCGUUGUAUUAGCUAGUUGGUGGGGUAACGGCUCACCAAGGCGACGAUACAUAGCCGACCUGAGAGGGUGAUCGGCCACACUGGGACGGAGACACGGCCCAGACGCCUACGGGAGGCAGCAGUAGGGAAUCUUCGGCGAUGGACGGAAGUCUGACCGAGCAACGCCGCGUGAGUGAAGAAGGUUUUCGGAUCGUAAAGCUCUGUUGUAAGAGAAGAACGAGUGUGAGAGUGGAAAGUUCACACUGUGACGGUAUCUUACCAGAAAGGGACGGCUAACUACGUG